rnacentral:rRNA from 1 species
GGCCGUAACUAUAACGGUCCUAAGGUAGCGAAAUUCCUUGUCGGGUAAGUUCCGACCUGCACGAAUGGCGUAAUGAUGGCCAGGCUGUCUCCACCCGAGACUCAGUGAAAUUGAACUCGCUGUGAAGAUGCAGUGUACCCGCGGCAAGACGGAAAGACCCCGUGAACCUUUACUAUAGCUUGACACUGAACAUUGAGCCUUGAUGUGUAGGAUAGGUGGGAGGCUUUGAAGUGUGGACGCCAGUCUGCAUGGAGCCGGCCUUGAAAUACCACCCUUUAAUGUUUGAUGUUCUAACGUGGACCCGUGAUCCGGGUUGCGGACAGUGUCUGGUGGGUAGUUUGACUGGGGCGGUCUCCUCCUAAAGAGUAACGGAGGAGCACGAAGGUUGGCUAAUCCUGGUCGGACAUCAGGAGGUUAGUGCAAUGGCAUAAGCCAGCUUGACUGCGAGCGUGACGGCGCGAGCAGGUGCGAAAGCAGGUCAUAGUGAUCCGGUGGUUCUGAAUGGAAGGGCCAUCGCUCAACGGAUAAAAGGUACUCCGGGGAUAACAGGCUGAUACCGCCCAAGAGUUCAUAUCGACGGCGGUGUUUGGCACCUCGAUGUCGGCUCAUCACAUCCUGGGGCUGAAGUAGGUCCCAAGGGUAUGGCUGUUCGCCAUUUAAAGUGGUACGCGAGCUGGGUUUAGAACGUCGUGAGACAGUUCGGUCCCUAUCUGCCGUGGGCGCUGGAGAACUGAGGGGGGCUGCUCCUAGUACGAGAGGACCGGAGUGGACGCAUCACUGGUGUUCGGGUUGUCAUGCCAAUGGCACUGCCCGGUAGCUAAAUGCGGAAGAGAUAAGUGCUGAAAGCAUCUAAGCACGAAACUUGCCCCGAGAUGAGUUCUCCCUGACCCUUUAAGGGUCCUGAAGGAACGUUGAAGACGACGACGUUGAUAGGCCGGGUGUGUAAGCGCAGCGAUGCGUUGAGCUAACCGGUACUAAUGAACCGUGAGG